GUGGGCCAGGCACGGAGGGGCAUUGGGCACGCCGGCAGGUGCUCCGGGUCCCAUGCCCGGAGGGAGCUUAUAAGGCCCACGUCUUUCCCCCGGGAGAUGUCAGCAGGCUUGCAGGGUGCACAGCUGAGUAAAGUUCGUCCUCUCUCUCUAGUGUGUGGCUAUGGAUGUGACUUUUGCUGCCUUUGACCGCUUAGGCCUCUGUCAAGUCACACAUGAGCUUAAAAGAACUUCUGGGGCCUGGCGUCCCACCCGAGGAAUUGACUUGCCAGCUCCUUGACUUUGAAUAGUCAGUCGCUGAGUGUUUGUUUGCCCCAUGAUUCAAGUUUUUGAGAGGGCCACACACCAAAGUUCACUGGAAUUGUGGCAAAGGUCACACACUCUGUGUGUGUGUGUGUGUGUGUGUGUGUGUGUGUGUGUGUGAAAGGUGAGAGAUGGUACAGGGAUAAGAUAGGGAGAGAGAACUUGAGAGCAAAGGUAUUUCUGAAGUGUGCCAGCCAGUGGGAAAGUUGCCUGUCUUUUAUUUCUGCAUGUCUUUUGUUUCAGAGAUAGAGAAUUGUAAUUGAAGCAAUACUAAUUUUAAAGGACAGAAAAUGAAAAAACAAAAACAAAAAAACCCCAAAAGACAAAAAACUCACAUUCAGGUAGAUGCUUUGCAAUGAAAUGUCUUCAUUAGUUCCACAGCAGUGAAUAACCUCUACCCUCAGUUUUCAGGGUAUUGAAUUAAUCCUUUGAUCUUGUUACUAUUUCGACAGGGUCUUGCCCAAACUGGCUUUUAACUCCUGAUCUUCCUCCGUCCAUUUGUAUAUUUAUUUGUAUAUUUAUCAGUUUAUCUUAAAAUAUAAGUUUUCUAUUAAGCUUCCUCAUCUAGCAAUGAAAUGUGUCAACUAAAACU
rnacentral:lncRNA from 1 species